rnacentral:lncRNA from 1 species
CCUGGCCCUCGCGUCUCCCUCGCGCGGCAGCUCGGGGGCGAAACCCUAGCCGCCGCCGCCCCUCCUCCUCCCUCCUCCCUGCUUCGCCGCCGCCGGAGCUCGUCGCCGGCAAAGCGGGGCGACGCGCUGGGAUGGCGGCAGCGGGGUCAUCUCCCUCGGCUCACUCUCGCCCCGGCGCGGGUGUGGCGACGAUGGCGGCGGGACGGCGAGGUCGCGGCGACGGCGUGGUGGUGGGGCUCCCCGCGCGCGGCGGUGGGGCUCUGCGCGGCUCCGUCGAGGGUGUCGCCAGAUCUGGUAGCCCCGCCAGAUCUGGCCGGGGUACGACAGCGGCACGGCGGCGGGUCUCGGCGCGGCCGGCGACGGUCUCGGUCAACGCCGGCGCCCUCGGAAGUAGCAGGUGGCCAGCAGCUCCGGCGCAGUUUCGUCGGCGACAACAGCACCGGGUCGGCGCCGGCUCUCCGGUCGGCGGCGGCUCGUCCGGUCGGCCGGCGGUGCUCCGGCGCUGGCUGCCGCGUGGUCCUGGCCGGGGGCUGCCGGCCUGCUGCGGCUUUUGCCAGCGAUGGGGAAGGCGCCUCCAUCUCCCUCCCUCCUGGUCCUCCCUCCCUCCUGGUCCUCCAGAUCCGGUUCUCCCCUUCUUCAGUGGUGUUUCUUCCGGGUUGGCUGUUGAGGUGGAGUCGGAGUUGCUUGUCUUGCAAGCUCGGCAACGAUGACCUUCAACGAACGUCCCGGCAACGCGACGAGGGUUUUGAGGUGGAGCAGUUUGAGAGAGCCUUAGGUGAAAACCUUGCCUAG